GAAGCAUAGCUCAGCUGGGAGAGCAUCUGCCUUACAAGCAGAGGGUCACAGGUUCGAGCCCUGUUGUUUCC
rnacentral:tRNA from 5 species